GAUGAACGCUGGCGGCGUGCCUAAUACAUGCAAGUCGAGCGAACAGACGAGGAGCUUGCUCCUCUGACGUUAGCGGCGGACGGGUGAGUAACACGUGGAUAACCUACCUAUAAGACUGGGAUAACUUCGGGAAACCGGAGCUAAUACCGGAUAAUAUAUUGAACCGCAUGGUUCAAUAGUGAAAGACGGUUUUGCUGUCACUUAUAGAUGGAUCCGCGCCGCAUUAGCUAGUUGGUGAGGUAACGGCUUACCAAGGCAACGAUGCGUAGCCGACCUGAGAGGGUGAUCGGCCACACUGGAACUGAGAAACGGUCCAGACUCCUACGGGAGGCAGCAGUAGGGAAUCUUCCGCAAUGGGCGAAAGCCUGACGGAGCAACGCCGCGUGAGUGAUGAAGGUCUUCGGAUCGUAAAACUCUGUUAUUAGGGAAGAACAAAUGUGUAAGUAACUAUGCACGUCUUGACGGUACCUAAUCAGAAAGCCACGGCUAACUACGUG
rnacentral:rRNA from 1 species